UACGGAGGGGACUAGCGUUGUUCGGAAUUACUGGGCGUAAAGCGUACGUAGGCGGAUUGGAAAGUAUAGGGUGAAAUCCCAGGGCUCAACCCUGGAACUGCCUUGUAAACUACUAGUCUAGAGUUCGAGAGAGGUGAGUGGAAUUCCAAGUGUAGAGGUGAAAUUCGUAGAUAUUUGGAGGAACACCAGUGGCGAAGGCGGCUCACUGGCUCGAUACUGACGCUGAGGUACGAAAGUGUGGGGAGCAAAC
rnacentral:rRNA from 1 species